rnacentral:lncRNA from 1 species
AACUUUUCCCCACUCAGUGGUCCCCCUUGAUUGCUCCACAGCAAAUCCUCUUGAGACCCUCCCACAUUUUAUUUAUUCUUUCCCUACCUUUGGACGUUCCAUCCAUCAGUAGGGAAAGAAUAAAUAAAAUGUGGGAGGGUCUCAAGAGGAAUUGCUGCGCAACAAUCAAAAGCGACCACUGAGAAAAAAGAGGAUGCAGAAUGACAUACUUAGCAAGAGAGCAUUUGUGACAAUCUAAUUCACAGGUGAAACUUUCUUAUUAUUGGUAGGGACAGAAGUUGAUAUGCAAAUAUUUAGCUGGAGUGAUAAUGUAAAUUACAUAAUUUAAUAAAUACAUCCAAUAUUUAAGAUUCAGUGAGCAAAAGAUAGCACGAGAUAUAAAAUUACAAAAUUACUUCACGCCUCUAUCUUCGUGCUCCUUGUAAAUGAUAGCAAACUCGUUUGGGGAUGAUUAGUAUUAGUACUUCUUUAUACAUUUGGUAGAAUUCCACCGUGGAUCCACCUAGUUCUGGGAUUUUCUUUGUUGAAAGACUUUUUUUUUUUUUUUUAAAUUAUGUUAACAGUUUAGGGUGCAGCCUCUGACACCUCUUCUAUUAAUUUACAUACAUAAA